GACGAACGCUGGCGGCGUGCCUAAUACAUGCAAGUUGAGCGCUGAAGGUUGGUACUUGUACCAACUGGAUGAGCAGCGAACGGGUGAGUAACGCGUGGGGAAUCUGCCUUUGAGCGGGGGACAACAUUUGGAAACGAAUGCUAAUACCGCAUAAAAACUUUAAACACAAGUUUUAAGUUUGAAAGAUGCAAUUGCAUCACUCAAAGAUGAUCCCGCGUUGUAUUAGCUAGUUGGUGAGGUAAAGGCUCACCAAGGCGAUGAUACAUAGCCGACCUGAGAGGGUGAUCGGCCACAUUGGGACUGAGACACGGCCCAAACUCCUACGGGAGGCAGCAGUAGGGAAUCUUCGGCAAUGGACGAAAGUCUGACCGAGCAACGCCGCGUGAGUGAAGAAGGUUUUCGGAUCGUAAAACUCGGUUGGUAGAGAAGAACGUUGGUGAGAGUAGAAAGCUCAUCAAGUGACGGUAACUACCCAGAAAGGGACGGCUAACUACGUG
rnacentral:rRNA from 1 species